GCAAGCUACAGCUAUACAGGUACAAAAGAUUGUCAGAACCUUCGUACAUUUUAGCAGUCAUGUGUACUGAUAUAUAACUGACCCUGUUUUUCCAACAUCCGUGCAGUAUGUCGGCGCCUGUCGUGUUACGUCAAGACAUGAAUGACUGGCAGAGGUGGCAUAUAGGCCUACAGUAUAGCGUGUAACAACGUGUAAUAGCAUUCAAGUGAAUGUAUUACCCUUCUGAUCAUCGGUGGUGAUUGGAGUCGCCAUCGCUUUCAAUAUAUCUACGGUGUCGGUGAUGCCGAGUCCACAGUCCCACAAUUCAAAGUCAGAGGUUUGCGUCCCAGCACAGCAUUGUCUCGAAAUAUUGGCUGAUUCCUGAGCCGCUUUUGUUAGUGUGUUCUUAGAUAUUUUUAAUAUUCCGUUUUAACUUCCUUCAUUUCUUCCUUCAUUGUUUUCAAAAUGCCUUUUCGUUUUUAGUCGAUAAUCCAAUUGCCACCAGAUUUUGGAGUCAGCCCAGAUGCUCAAUAACACUCUGAUAUCUCCAGAUGACCAUGAUAAAGGUUCCAUUUUAAGAAUGUAAAUGUUUUGUAGUGUUGCUACCGUUUGUAAGUAUUUUUUUUUGUUUCCAACGGCCAAGGAAAACGUAAUAUCAGCAAACUAUGACGCCAUACCUCAGACCAAGCAUUGCGGUUUGCCGUCUGUAAUCCCACCCACCCGACUGGUUUGUUCUUGGAUGUCUAGCCUUCAAUCAACCAGGAUGUCUAGCCUUCAAUCAACCAGGAUGUCUUUCAACCAGGAUGUCUAGCCUUCAAUCAACCAGGAUGUCUACCCUUCAAUCAACCAGGAUGUCUAGCCUUCAAUCAACCAGGAUGUCUAGCCUUCAAUCAACCAGUAUGUCUAGCCUUCAAUCAACCAGGAUGUCUAGCCUUCAAUCAACCAGGAUGUCUAGCCUUCAAUCAACCAGUAUGUCUAGCCUUCAAUCAACCAGGAUGUCUAGCCUUCAAUCAACCAGGAUGUCUUGCCUUCAAUCGACCAGGAUGUCAAGCCUGGAAUCAACCAGGAUGUCUAGCCUGGUAUCCUCAGUGCCGUAACGAACGCUGUCUCCGGACUAAUACCUUGAUUAAGCUCUCAAGCACUAAAUCCUCCACAAAGCGUCGUUACAGUGCGACAAGGCAAGGCAAACCCCCCCCCCUCCCCCCACCCCGGAUGGUGUUCACCAAUUGCACUUCCCUCCGUGGGACCCCUGGGCUAAGCCGAGAGACGGAUUCAUUUCACUUUCAUUUUAAUUAGAGCAAUUGUCUGCACCAUAUGGCCCAGAUUUAGGCUACAUCAUUUAAAAUGAAUAAUUUUACUGUGUGUGGGCUAGAGGUGGGUCACACCUUACACAUCUUAUCGAUGCACAGUUGGCCAGCCUUAGGCCGUGGACCUAGCUGCACUCUGGGCCAGCAAAACGCAAAAUAUAUGGCCCACAGCUGGUCCAAAACAUGUUUUCUAUCUGGGAAAGCUUAUGAGACCGCUGACACCGCUGACGCCCUGGCAGAUGACAUGGGAUGUUACGGGUCUAAAACCACGCGACUCAUUCUGUUCUUGCAAGGCUUCUUAAAGGCAAAUAUAUUGCUAUGGGAGCAGAACACUUACAGGAAUUAUGUAAUGAAUUAGAAAACAUAGCUAAAGGCUUAUUACCUCAGAGAAGAUCAGCACAUUCAGAAUUUGUAGUCUCUUCAGGGUUCUUGGUCUGACCGAAGGGUGACAGGUUGAGGCUUCACUAUUACCUGGGUCUUUUUUCAUUUCUUCCACAGUGUUGAGCUGCUGUUGUGGGACCUUCAAGCAUCUGUAUGUCUACAAACACACUGCUACAGGGGACAGAGUGCCACCUAUUGGUCCCCAAAUGCAACUGUACUCACUCCCCUCACCUCCCUGUUCCCUGCUUCUCCUUUACAUUCUGUUGUCACUCAGGACAAGAGGAUGUUCCAAAAGCACCAUAUUUAUAGCACCAACAUGCACUGAAAUAAAAUAUAAUAAUUGCGGUGGGACAUAUUUAAAAACCAUGUACAUAAAAGGCACCAGUAAUGUAUGCAAGUUUAAACUAAACAGUAAACCUGUUGUAGUAAAUGCAGAAUAUGUCAAAUCUGUGGUUAGAUCUCUGCUCUUUUGAGCAAAUCUCAAUACAAGUGAAAACCUACAUUUUAAAACUGUAUCGCUAUACUACAUUAUUAUCUAUAGAACAUGUGGUCACAUAGCGCCAGCCCGCUAGACAAAUCAUUAAAACCAUGUCAAGUAGAUAUCCCAGAGAGCCUAAUAAAGAAGUAUGAUUAAAAUUCAAGAAUGGAUGGUAGUUAUUCCGCACACAAUGGCUGGCUGCUUAAAAUACAGCAGUAUGUAGGCACGAGGUCUCCCUGUCCCAGGCCUCCGUGCAUGUACAGAGCAAGGUCUUUUUUUACGUUUUUAACAUUUCUGAGCAAACAAGCUGCUAACGCAUUCAUGUUCCUAUGUGAGGGGAUAAGGGGAAGUUUAUAGGAGGAUUCCUCCACCUCUGACCUCCCUCAGGUUUCACAUCCACAUUCCUGCUCCCAGAUAGGUGGAAUGAAACACUGCUCAGUGCUUUUCAACUUCAUCUCCUUCUCUGUCUUUUCAAUCUCUCUCUCUUUCUCUUAGUUUCUGUCUUCUCUUUUUUUUUCUCCCACAGGCCAGUCUCACCUUCGUGAAGUCAUACAGGUGUGAAUGUCAAUAAGAGUAGCAGUCCCUUGGUCAAAAUAUUCUGCAGUUUUUGUUUUCUUUUUGUUUCGAUAAAUAAGUAACAGACCUGUUAGGAGAUCUCCAGUGCUAAGGCACCAUGUCAGUAAAACAAAGAAGAGACAGCUAGAAAGAAAGUCUGGGAGCUGUCCAUCAGGACGUGUCAGCUACAGGAGGUGUGUGUGUGUGUGUGUUCUGUCAGCUCCAGCACAGAGGACCUCCUAAACGGAGGACCAGGUCACCACUGAUCACAUGGCAGAGAAAAUGGUCCAAACAACCUUGACGGGAGUGGAAGAGGUCUCUCUUUUUAAUUAGAAACUUUAAUAUUUCAUCCUCUGCUAUGCCUCAUUAGCGCCCUUCUAUCACACUGUAUUCUCCCAGCUCCCAGACAGGCCCGCACUUUCACUGAGUUUCUGUCUCCUAGCAUUGCCAUUCCUCAGCUUGAAGAAAGGUGUGUAUAUAACCACAAGAGAGUGACAGUGGAGUGGUCUGCAUAUUGGUCAGGUUUGCACUCACUUCUUUGCUACAGUAAUAGGUUACAUGGAUACUUUCUCAAAUUAAAAGAUAAUAUUUGCAAUAGUUGUGUGCACUGGAAAUACAAGAAAAAACGUAUACUAUGAAUGUCCGAGGCAGAGUUUAAAGCAGAGACCACAUACCUGAGAUACCAGUAGUUUGUCGUUGAUCUUGACCAUACUGUGGCACGUUGGUCAUGUAGUCAUCUCUAUCCCCUGCAGGCUUACCAAGUCUCUCUCCACAGCUCAGCAACGCCGGCAUCUGCUCAGCUCCCAUGCUCAGAAACAUCACCACGGCACCAAUGUGACCAUAACGUCUGAGAAACUGAAGCCUUGUGAUUCCUGAAGGGCCCUCACCCCACUUAGCCUCCAAACUCUCAUUCUCUCUUUGACUUCAGCGUGGACUUUAUUGGAUGGAAGUAUUGUAAAACUAUUUAGAUCUAGCUGAUGAUGAACGACAGACACAGACAGACACAUUUUUCUGGAUGUGAAGGUACACACCUGUUUCAGUCAAUACUUGGUAAACAGGAUAUGAUGGCAGAUACAUUUAGAAUGUGUUUAUGUGUCUCUUUAUUUGUGUAUUUCUGUUUGUAUCUGCAAUUGUGGUCAUGCCAUAGAUUUGUGUGCGUGCAUGUGUGUGUGUGUUAGAGGAUGGGGGGUUUACAUGUGUGUGACUAGUUGGUGGAGGGGGCAGUAUAAAAUAUGCAGGAUAAUUACCAGGAAGAGGUUGGGACGCAGAUGAAAGACCUUGUAUUGAUUCUUGAAAGGACCUGACAGCUCGCUUGAGCUUUUUUUUCUCUCCAUUGUUUGUUUUGCAUACAAAGGAUUACAUUUUCCUGUGAAUUUUGAUUGCGGCAGAAACAACAGAGCCUUUCUCCUCCAAGGAGGGGGCGAGGACAAGAGUACCUGGCAGAGGACAGAAUGAUUACUAGUGUACUGGCCUGAUAGAGUACUGGAAAGGACUAUGGAAGGAAAUCAACUUCUCAGACAGGCUUUUACUUGAUUUACCACUUAUCCACGGAGAGGUAUAGAAGGAAAUAACCAAAAUACAAUGUCCAAAUGACAAAUUAUUAAACUAAGAAAACAGUUUUCAUUACAUUGUUUUUAUAUAUUGGGUUUUUGAAGGGUUUUGCACACAAACAAUACUAAAAUUAUUGUAGUAUUUACCAUAGUAUCCUGUAGUAUUUUUGCGCACAUUAAUGUGUUAUUGAUUUAUAUUCUAUAACAUAAAAGUGUAUGUGUGUAUGGGGCUUCCUUGAGGAAACAUAUUGGCAUAGUAUUCAUGACCAUCUUAUGGAGUACACUCAGAAGUUCUGCUGGUGUUCUCUACUAUGUUUUGUAGUCUUUUACCCAUUUAUGCCUACCUCCUAUAGACUGUUACUGACUUGUUGUUGUGGAGGUUUUCACUAUUGAAAGUGUUCUUUGGUAAUCCACUCUAGUGGUCUUGGUCUACCAGGUCGUUUGCCACUGCUGAGCUUACCAGUGCUUUCUUUGUUCUGAAUCGAUCAAACAGUUGAUUGUGGCACACCUGAUGUUUUCUCUAUAUCUCUGAUGUAUGUCUUCAGAUUCAGCCUUAUAAUGGCUGGAUUUACUUGCACUGAAACUUCUUAUGUUAGUAAGCACAAGCAAAAUACUUCAAAUGUAAAGCCUUAUAUUGACACUUAUUUGGUCCAUAUGUUGUCAGACACCAGCACCAUGACUCAAAAUGUAAAUGCAAAGCAUGGUCUAGACUAGAAAUGUACAUCUCCCUUGAGCAUGCGCUAAUUCUGGAAACAAACACACCUUCCUUAUAAGAAAUCACUGUGAAGCCAAAUGAACAAAUACCAUAACAUGGGGUGACUAUGUAAAAUAAAAAAGUUGUAAUUACUAAGUGGUUGAUCUGAUAUGGAUGAAAAUAUCCUCAAAUAAAAGUUAAAAGUCAUUGUUUAAUUUCAAAUCCAAAUUACAA
ensembl:lncRNA